GUGGGGAAUAUUCCGCAAUGGACGAAAGUCUGACGGAGCAACGCCGCGUGAGUGAUGAAGGUUUUCGGACUGUAAAGCUCUGUUGUUUAGGACGAAAGUGCCUGUUGCAAAUAGUUACAGGUAUUGACGGUACUGAACGAGGAAGCCACGGCUAACUACGUGCCAGCAGCCGCGGUAAUAUGUAGGUGGCAAGCGUUGUCCGGAAUUAUUGGGCGUAAAGAGCAUGUAGGCGGGAAUCUAAGUCUGUUGUGAAAAUGCGGGGCUCAACCCCGUAUUGCGAUGGAAACUGGGUUUCUUGAGUGCAGGAGAGGAAAGGGGAAUUCCCAGUGUAGCGGUGAAAUGCGUAGAUAUUGGGAGGAACACCAGUGGCGAAGGCGCCUUUCUGGACUGUGUCUGACGCUGAGAUGCGAAAGCCAGGGUAGCGAACGGGAUUAGAAACCCUUGUAGUCC
rnacentral:rRNA from 1 species